UACUGCAGAGUAUAUGUGGACGAGAGAGAAACAUAAGUUUUACACCUGUAAUAUUUAAAUCCGUCUCUUUUGUCCACUUUUGACCAAUUCUGUCCUGAUUACUUUGAGGGGCAAUUUAUGAAAUAAGAUCGCGCAACUUUCAAAAGCUAGCAAAAUCAAACGCGGAAAUCAGCCGCUUUCGUUUUAUCAAUGAAAGACUAAAAAUAGCGCGGCAGAAGUCAGAAAAGAGGUAAAACAUUGUGUUCAGUACCUCAGAUCAGAUAAAUGGUCGGAGAGAAGGUGGUCUCCUGUGGCUGUUCGAACACAUUCAGCCCAUAGACUGCAGUUCUAUCUAUUGUUUUAUUUCCGCUGUCAUCAUAGGUAACAUGAAAUAAAAACUGUUUCCACACACCAAACUUAUACGAUGCUGGCGCAUCCUCCAACCCCGGGCAGACUUCCUUAGUUCCCACUUGCCAUUUCUAAACGUAACAUGACAUGCAGCACUCACUCUCCACACCAGUCACCUCUUCUUUCGCGCGAUUCGCGAAAGGGAAACACGCUAUCUGAGGUCACAUACAGGGCACGAGGCUACAUACAUUGCGCAUGCCAUGAACCAUUGAACCGUGCGGCGCACACACGCUCCGAACCGAGACAAGUGAACCGAACAGUUCAGAUUUUUUUCAUGAACCGUGCCACCCCUAAAAUGAUAAUAAAUCCAUGAUUUACUCACCCUCAAGCCAUCCAAGAUGCAUAUAUCUAUUUAUCGGAUGAUCACAUUUUUAUUUUUAGAAAAUGUUCUAGCUUUGAGAGUGUACGCACUUUGCAGUCUUUGCUGAUGCUCUGUACCUCCGCAUUUGUCUUAACGUCACAAAUAAAAGUGCGUAGACUACGCUAAUACUCUCUCCUGAAUGCAGAGGCGUGGUGUUACCAGAAGCUAUUUAUCUUAGUUUGUAAAGUUUUAAAUAUGGAUAUUUCUAUCACAAAACCGCAUGGAUUACCCUCAGAAGGCCUUUGUUUAUCCUCAUGGAGCCGGAUGGAUUACUUUUGUAAAGGAUGGAUGCACAAUCUUUAUGCUUGAGGUGGGGACCAACAUGGUGGAAUAUCUGCAAAAUCAGAGAUGUUGCACGUUUUGUGACUUGGGGACGAGCCAAGAAGGACCUGCCAGACCUUUGCCAUUGUUGGAGGCAAUGCCUCUGAGACAAACUCUUUGGUGAAGGAUGUUGAUAAGUUUUUUUUUGUCUUUGAUGUUAACUACACAAAGCAAUAGGUGUGUUCGACUUCAUGCAGCGCUGCGCAGACCGAUCGGCAGGUGACUUGAAGCAGUGCAUUUUGGUUAGUACUUUUGUCCGACUUCAGCUGGCGCUGCAGGCACGUGACUGUGUCAUAUGGUUUUUAAGUACCGCGAGAGCGUUUCGAGAGUAGCCGGCUGGCUCAGCCGGUGCAGCUUCUCCAGAGCGGCUGCCCGGAGUUGUGAUGACGUAACAGCUUUACUUGAUUGGUCGCUUCAUUGAUGACAACGAUCACGUGCGUUUCAAGUUUAAUCCAACCUUUAGUUUCACUAAUAAACAUUAUAAAUUCAUGUUUUAAAACAGGAAAAAAACACUUUAAUAUCCUAAAAUAUGUUAUAUUGUGUCGUGUAAUAAAAUAAAAAUGAAAAUAACAAACUCUAUUGGUAUUUUAAUAAUAUAAGCUUGUUUCCCAUUAUUUUCGGGUAUACAGUUUAAGCAGCAAUUAAAAUAUUCGAUAUAAAAUGUUUCUGGUUGCAACUUUUUAUCAAAAGGUUAGUUUUUAUCAAAUUCAGCAUCUAAUUCACUUAAUUUGCGAUUAUAAACAAGGAAACACGGCGCACACGUCACUACGGCAAGCAGCAGGUGUCCGGCUUGACGGCUCCGUCUUCAGUUCCUCCCUCGACUGCAAGCGGCAAACCUCGUCGAUCGGUCUGCGCAGCGCCGGAUGAUCUCGAACACACCUAUUGUCUUCCCACCUGGGAGUUUCACCAGGAUGCCAUUUAUCAGAUUGAUGGACAUGAGUCCUCCUCUGUUAACAUUUUGAGGACAACAUUUAAUCACUAAUAAUUAACUAUUUCAGUGCUAUGUUUGAAAGAUUCGCCCACAAUGCAAUGCCAACAGGAGUUUACUUACAGGCUGUAAGGGUCAAGUGGGAGGAAUUAUGAUAAUUUCGGUCUUGUCUACGUCACCAAUCCCAGGAAGUAAACUGUUGCCUACAAUCUGUGUUUGUUGUAGUCCAAGAAAAGAGAUCACUCGCAUUAUCGUUUACUUUGGGGUUUGUACCUUUUGCAUAUCGUUAACAUGAAUUAAUACACAAUUACACACCAAAGGAAAUGUAAAAAUGUGAAUCGGACCAUAGCUGCUCUUUAAAAAAAAUUUGUUUCAGGGCUUCUUGUUUUUAAUAACAUUUUGAUGAAUGAAAAUGUAAAGUAAAUGAAAUGCUAAUCAUCAUAGUUUAAAUAUUAAGAGUUAUAAAGUCCGUGGGGAUUGUUUGAUGUCAUAAUGGGGUUGUAACUUUUGUAUUAUACAAAUAUACAAAAAUGUAAUUAAAACAUUGUAUUAAAUGUAAAAAAAAAAUAAAUGCAAUUUAAAUCACAUUAACAGGGGCCUCUCAGUUUUGUUUUACAGGGGGUAUUUGUUACAUUUAUUUUAUAUCUAACAAUUUGUCACAUUGGAAUUUUAAGGUUCAAUCUGACAUUUUUGUCAAAAUUCAGUUAUUCACAUAUUUUUAAUCUGUAACAAUUUAUUUACAUUAUGUGAAGUUAUGUACAUUUUUGGGAUGUUUUU